rnacentral:rRNA from 1 species
ACACGACUACAUUAGACUACCCGGGUAGUCCUAGCCGUAAACGAUACUCGCUAGGUGUCGGCCACGGUGCGACCGUUGUCGGUGCCGUAGGGAAGCCGUGAAGCGAGCCACCUGGGAAGUACCGGCCGCAAGGCUGAAACUUAAAGGAAUUGGCGGGGGAGCACCACAACGGGUGGAGCUUGCGGUUUAAUUGGAUUCAACGCCGGAAAUCUUACCGGGACCGACAGCAACAUGAAGGCCAGGCUGAAGACUUUGCCGGAUUAGCUG